CCUACGGGAGGCUGCAGUGGGGAAUAUUGGACAAUGGGCGAAAGCCUGAUCCAGCCAUGCCGCGUGUGUGAAGAAGGCCUUCGGGUUGUAAAGCACUUUCAGUGGGGAAGAAAGCCUUGGGGCUAAUACCCUCGAGGAAGGACAUCACCCACAGAAGAAGCACCGGCUAACUCCGUGCCAGCAGCCGCGGUAAUACGGAGGGUGCGAGCGUUAAUCGGAAUUACUGGGCGGAAAGCGCGCGUAGGCGGUCUGAUAAGCCGGUUGUGAAAGCCCCGGGCUCAACCUGGGAACGGCAUCCGGAACUGUCAGGCUAGAGUGCAGGAGAGGAAGGUAGAAUUCCCGGUGUAGCGGUGAAAUGCGUAGAGAUCGGGAGGAAUACCAGUGGCGAAGGCGGCCUUCUGGACUGACACUGACGCUGAGGUGCGAAAGCGUGGGUAGCAAACAGGAUUAGAUACCCCAGUAGUC
rnacentral:rRNA from 1 species